GUCUUUUUGAAUUAAAUUUAAAGUCUAAUCUGCCCACUGAUAUUAUAAAUUAAAUGGCCGCAGUAUUUUAACUGUGCAAAGGUAGCAUAAUCAUUAGUCUUUUAAUUGGGGGCUGGAAUGAAUGAUUGGACGAGAUAUAAGCUGUCUCAUUGUAAAUUGUAUAUAGAAUUUUAUUUUUUAGUUAAAAAGCUAAAAUUUUUUUAAAAGACGAGAAGACCCUUUAGAUCUUUAUACUGGUUAUAUAAUUUAUUUUUUAGAUAAUUUAGAUAAUUAUAUUUAUAAGUAUUUUGUUGGGGUGAUAUUGAAAUUUAAUUAACUUUCAAAUAGUGUUGGACAUUUAUUAGUGAUUUUUAUGCUGAUCCUGUGUUAUGGAUAGAAAAAUUAAGUUACCUUAGGGAUAACAGCGUAAUUAUUUCGGAGAGUUCUUAUUGAUGAAAUAGAUUGCGACCUCGAUGUUGGAUUAAGAUUAAUAAUAGGGGUAGUUUCUUGUUAUAUUAAGUCUGUUCGACUUUUAAAUUCUU
rnacentral:rRNA from 1 species